GAUGAAGAACGCAGCGAAAUGCGAUAAGUAAUGUGAAUUGCAGAAUUCAGUGAAUCAUCGAAUCUUUGAACGCACAUUGCGCCCCCUGGUAUUCCGGGGGGCAUGCCUGUCCGAGCGUCAUUACAACCCUCAGGCUCAGCUUGGUGUUGGGCCCCGCCGCCCCGGCGGGCCCUAAAGUCAGUGGCGGUGCCGUCCGGCUCCGAGCGUAGUAAUUCUUCUCGCUCUGGAGGUCCGGUCGUGUGCUCGCCAGCAACCCCCAAUUUUUUUCAGGUUGACCUCGGAUCAGGUAGGGAUACCCGCUGAACUUAAGCAUAUCAAUAAGCGGAGGA
rnacentral:misc_RNA from 1 species